rnacentral:rRNA from 1 species
GAUGAACGCUGGCGGCGUGCCUAAUACAUGCAAGUCGAGCGAACAGACGAGGAGCUUGCUCCUCUGACGUUAGCGGCGGACGGGUGAGUAACACGUGGAUAACCUACCUAUAAGACUGGGAUAACUUCGGGAAACCGGAGCUAAUACCGGAUAAUAUAUUGAACCGCAUGGUUCAAUAGUGAAAGACGGUUUUGCUGUCACUUAUAGAUGGAUCCGCGCUGCAUUAGCUAGUUGGUAAGGUAACGGCUUACCAAGGCAACGAUGCGUAGCCGACCUGAGAGGGUGAUCGGCCACACUGGAACUGAGACACGGUCCAGACGCCUACGGGAGGCAGCAGUAGGGAAUGUUACGCAAUGGGCGAAAGCCUGACGGAGCAACGCCGCGUGAGUGAUGAAGGUCUUCGGAUCGUAAAACUCUGUUAUUAGGGAAGAACAAAUGUGUAAGUAACUGUGCACGUCUUGACGGUACCUAAUCAGAAAGCCACGGCUAACUACGUG